AAAGCUCAAAUUUAAAAUCUGGUAGUCAUUGGCUGCCCGAGUUGUAAUCUAGAGAAGUGUUAUCCGCACUGGACCAUGUAUAAGUCUUCUGGAAUGGAGCGUCAUAGAGGGUGAGAAUCCCGUCUUUGACAUGGACUACCAGGGCUUUGUGAUGCGCUCUCAACGAGUCGAGUUGUUUGGGAAUGCAGCUCUAAAUGGGUGGUAAAUUCCAUCUAAAGCUAAAUAUUGGCGAGAGACCGAUAGCGAA
rnacentral:rRNA from 1 species